rnacentral:rRNA from 1 species
GUCCAGACUCCUACGGGAGGCAGCCGUGGGGAAUAUUGCACAAUGGGGGGACCCCUGAUGCAGCGCCUCCUCGUGAGUGCAGCAGUAUUUCGGUCUGUCCAGCUCUGUCAUCCUGGAAGAAGCCCGCCGGUACCUUCCCACUAAGCCCCUUCUCCCUACGUGCCCGCCUCCGCGGGACUCCUUCGGGUGCACGCUUUACUCGGAAUCACUGGGCGGAAAGAGCGCGUAGGCGGGAGAGCAAGUCAGAUGUGAAAUCCGAGGGAGUAACCAUAGAACUGCAUUUGAAACUGUUAUUCUAGAGUAUGGGAGAGGUAGGUGGAAUUCUUGGUGUAGGGGUAAAAUCCGUAGAGAGCAAGAGGAAUACUCAUUGCGAAGGCGACCUGCUAGAACAUAACUGACGCUGAUGCGCGAAAGCGUGGGGAGCAAACAGGAUUAGAUACCCGUGUA